GACGAACGCUGGCGGCGUGCUUAACACAUGCAAGUCGAGCGGUAAGGCCCUUUCGGGGGUACACGAGCGGCGAACGGGUGAGUAACACGUGGGUGACCUGCCUUUAGCUCUGGGAUAAGCCUGGGAAACCGGGUCUAAUACCGGAUAUGACUCCGCGGCGCAUGUUGUGGGGUGGAAAGCCUUGUGCGGCUGGAGAUGGGCCCGCGGCCUAGUCAGCUUGUUGGUGGGGUGAUGGCCUACCAAGGCGACGACGGUAGCCGGCCUGAGAGGGCGACCGGCCACACUGGGACUGAGACACGGCCCAGACUCCUACGGGAGGCAGCAGU
rnacentral:rRNA from 1 species